rnacentral:lncRNA from 1 species
AUGGAGGUUAGGGAGCAGCUUCCAAGGUCGGAGGGGAUGCACUCACACCCCGAAAAGUGCAAUCCGAACAAAUUCUACCUCUAUCAUCGUGACCAUGGCCAUGAUACAGAGGAGGUAUUUAGCUUUGAGAUGAGAUCGAGGAGCUCAUCAGACGAGGUCGGCUCGACAGAUUCAUUCGACGUUGACCUGAAGGAAGGAAAGAUCGGCCUAGGGCCCUGCCGUAGUCGGAACUGCCAAGGAGGGAGGAGCAGCCAG